rnacentral:misc_RNA from 1 species
GAUGAAGAACGCAGCGAAAUGCGAUAAGUAAUGUGAAUUGCAGAAUUCAGUGAAUCAUCGAAUCUUUGAACGCACAUUGCGCCCCUUGGUAUUCCAUGGGGCAUGCCUGUUCGAGCGUCAUUUGUACCUUCAAGCUCUGCUUGGUGUUGGGUGUUUGUCUCGCCUCUGCGCGUAGACUCGCCUCAAAACAAUUGGCAGCCGGCGUAUUGAUUUCGGAGCGCAGUACAUCUCGCGCUUUGCACUCAUAACGACGACGUCCAAAAGUACAUUUUUACACUCUUGACCUCGGAUCAGGUAGGGAUACCCGCUGAACUUAAGCAUAUCAAUAAGCGGAGGA